rnacentral:rRNA from 1 species
UACGUAGGGGGCAAGCGUUGUCCGGAAUCAUUGGGCGUAAAGCGCGUGUAGGCGGUUCUGUAAGUCUGCUGUGAAAGUCCAGGGCUCAACCCUGGAGUGCCGGUGGAUACUGCAGGGCUAGAGUACGGAAGAGGCGAGUGGAAUUCCCGGUGUAGCGGUGAAAUGCGCAGAUAUCGGGAGGAACACCUAUUGCGAAGGCAGCUCGCUGGGACGUUACUGACGCUGAGACGCGAAAGCGUGGGGAGCAAACAGG